GAAAUGCGAUAAGUAAUGUGAAUUGCAGAAUUCCGUGAAUCAUCGAAUCUUUGAACGCACAUUGCGCCCUCUGGUAUUCCGGGGGGCAUGCCUGUCCGAGCGUCAUUGCGAACCCCUCAAGCACGGCUUGUGUGAUGGGCCCCCCCGCGUCUUGGUCGUCAAGACGGGCCCGAAAUGCAGUGGCGGCUUCGCGGUUAUCCGAUCAGCCAGAGCGUAUGGGGACUUUCUCUCUGUCACACGCCCGCGGCGCGGACCGACGCCUGUCGACCUUUAUUCAUCUUUUUCUCGGUUGACCUCGGAUCAGGUAGGGAUACCCGCUGAACUUAAGC
rnacentral:misc_RNA from 1 species